GGAAAGGCCCUGCUUGCAGGGUACUCGAGUGGCGAACGGGUGAGUAACACGUGGGUGAUCUGCCCUGCACUUCGGGAUAAGCCUGGGAAACUGGGUCUAAUACCGGAUAGGAGCCAUUUUUAGUGUGAUGGUUGGAAAGUUUUUUCGGUGUAGGAUGAGCUCGCGGCCUAUCAGCUUGUUGGUGGGGUAAUGGCCUACCAAGGCGGCGACGGGUAGCCGGCCUGAGAGGGUGGACGGCCACAUUGGGACUGAGAUACGGCCCAGACUCCUACGGGAGGCAGCAGUGGGGAAUAUUGCACAAUGGGCGCAAGCCUGAUGCAGCGACGCCGCGUGGGGGAUGACGGCCUUCGGGUUGUAAACUCCUUUCGCUAGGGACGAAGCUUUUUGUGACGGUACCUAGAUAAGAAGCACCGGCUAACUACGUGCCAGCAGCCGCGGUAAUACGUAGGGUGCGAGCGUUGUCCGGAAUUACUGGGCGUAAAGGGCUCGUAGGUGGUUUGUCGCGUCGUCUGUGAAAUUCCGGGGCUUAACUCCGGGCGUGCAGGCGAUUCGGGCAUAACUUGAGUACUGUAGGGGUAACUGGAAUUCCUGGUGUAGCGGUGAAAUACGCAGAUAUCAGGAGGAACACCGAUGGCGAAGGCAGGUUACUGGGCAGUUACUGACGCUGAGGAGCGAAAGCAUGGGUAGCGAACAGGAUUA
rnacentral:rRNA from 1 species